UAGGGAAUUUUCGUCAAUGGGGGGAACCCUGAACGAGCAAUGCCGCGUGCGUGAAGAAGGCCUUCGGGUCGUAAAGCGCUGUUGUAAGUGAAGAACGGCCGAUAUAGGGAAUGAUAUCGGAGUGACGGUAGCUUACCAGAAAGCCACGGCUAACUACGUGCCAGCAGCCGCGGUAAUACGUAGGUGGCGAGCGUUAUCCGGAAUUAUUGGGCGUAAAGGGUGCGUAGGUGGCACGAUAAGUCCGAAGUAAAAGGCAAUAGCUCAACUAUUGUGUGCUUUGGAAACUGUCGGGCUAGAGUGCAGAAGAGGGCGAUGGAAUUCCAUGUGUAGCGGUAAAAUGCGUAGAUAUAUGGAGGAACACCAGUGGCGAAGGCGGUCGCCUGGUCUGUAACUGACACUGAGGCACGAAAGCGUGGGGAGCAAAUA
rnacentral:rRNA from 1 species